rnacentral:rRNA from 1 species
UACAGAGGGGGCCAGCGUUAUUCGGAAUUAUUGGGCGUAAAGGGCGCGUAGGCGGUUCGGCAAGUCUUCAGUGAAAUCUCUGGGCUCAACUCAGAGUCUGCUGGGGAAACUGCCGGGCUUGAGUGUGGGAGAGGAGAGUGGAAUUCCUGGUGUAGCGGUGAAAUGCGUAGAUAUCAGGAGGAACACCUGAGGCGAAAGCGGCUCUCUGGACCACAACUGACGCUGAGGCGCGAAAGCUAGGGGAGCAAACAGG